rnacentral:rRNA from 1 species
AGACCCGAAACCCGGUGAUCUAGCCAUGGGCAGGUUGAAGGUUGGGUAACACUAACUGGAGGACCGAACCGACUAAUGUUGAAAAAUUAGCGGAUGACCUGUGGCUGGGGGUGAAAGGCCAAUCAAACCGGGAGAUAGCUGGUUCUCCCCGAAAGCUAUUUAGGUAGCGCCUCGUGAAUUCAUCUCCGGGGGUAGAGCACUGUUUCGGCUAGGGGGCCAUCCCGGCUUACCAACCCGAUGCAAACUGCGAAUACCGGAGAAUGUUAUCACGGGAGACACACGGCGGGUGCUAACGUCCGUCGUGAAGAGGGAAACAACCCAGACCGCCAGCUAAGGUCCCAAAGUCAUGGUUAAGUGGGAAACGAUGUGGGAAGGCCCAGACAGCCAGGAUGUUGGCUUAGAAGCAGCCAUCAUUUAAAGAAAGCGUAAUAGCUCACUGGUCGAGUCGGCCUGCGCGGAAGAUGUAACGGGGCUAAACCAUGCACCGAAGCUGCGGCAGCGACGCUUAUGCGUUGUUGGGUAGGGGAGCGUUCUGUAAGCCUGCGAAGGUGGCCUGUGAGGGUUGCUGGAGGUAUCAGAAGUGCGAAUGCUGACAUAAGUAACGAUAAAGCGGGUGAAAAGCCCGCUCGCCGGAAGACCAAGGGUUCCUGUCCAACGUUAAUCGGGGCAGGGUGAGUCGACCCCUAAGGCGAGGCCGAAAGGCGUAGUCGAUGGGAAACGGGUUAAUAUUCCCGUACUUGGUGUUACUGCGAAGGGGGGACGGAGAAGGCUAUGUUGGCCGGGCGACGGUUGUCCCGGUUUAAGCGUGUAGGUGUGUGUUCCAGGUAAAUCCGGUUCACUUUAACACUGAGGCGUGACGACGAGGCACUACGGUGCUGAAGCAACAAAUGCCCUGCUUCCAGGAAAAGCCUCUAAGCAUCAGGUAACAUCAAAUCGUACCCCAAACCGACACAGGUGGUCAGGUAGAGAAUACCAAGGCGCUUGAGAGAACUCGGGUGAAGGAACUAGGCAAAAUGGUGCCGUAACUUCGGGAGAAGGCACGCUGACACGUAGGUGAAGUGAUUUACUCAUGGAGCUGAAGUCAGUCGAAGAUACCAGCUGGCUGCAACUGUUUAUUAAAAACACAGCACUGUGCAAACACGAAAGUGGACGUAUACGGUGUGACGCCUGCCCGGUGCCGGAAGGUUAAUUGAUGGGGUCAGCGCAAGCGAAGCUCCUGAUCGAAGCCCCGGUAAACGGCGGCCGUAACUAUAACGGUCCUAAGGUAGCGAAAUUCCUUGUCGGGUAAGUUCCGACCUGCACGAAUGGCGUAAUGAUGGCCAGGCUGUCUCCACCCGAGACUCAGUGAAAUUGAACUCGCUGUGAAGAUGCAGUGUACCCGCGGCAAGACGGAAAGACCCCGUGAACCUUUACUAUAGCUUGACACUGAACAUUGAGCCUUGAUGUGUAGGAUAGGUGGGAGGCUUUGAAGUGUGGACGCCAGUCUGCAUGGAGCCGACCUUGAAAUACCACCCUUUAAUGUUUGAUGUUCUAACGUGGACCCGUUACCCGGGUUGCGGACAGUGUCUGGUGGGUAGUUUGACUGGGGCGGUCUCCUCCUAAAGAGUAACGGAGGAGCACGAAGGUUGGCUAAUCCUGGUCGGACAUCAGGAGGUUAGUGCAAUGGCAUAAGCCAGCUUGACUGCGAGCGUGACGGCGCGAGCAGGUGCGAAAGCAGGUCAUAGUGAUCCGGUGGUUCUGAAUGGAAGGGCCAUCGCUCAACGGAUAAAAGGUACUCCGGGGAUAACAGGCUGAUACCGCCCAAGAGUUCAUAUCGACGGCGGUGUUUGGCACCUCGAUGUCGGCUCAUCACAUCCUGGGGCUGAAGUAGGUCCCAAGGGUAUGGCUGUUCGCCAUUUAAAGUGGUACGCGAGCUGGGUUUAGAACGUCGUGAGACAGUUCGGUCCCUAUCUGCCGUGGGCGCUGGAGAACUGAGGGGGGCUGCUCCUAGUACGAGAGGACCGGAGUGGACGCAUCACUGGUGUUCGGGUUGUCAUGCCAAUGGCACUGCCCGGUAGCUAAAUGCGGAAGAGAUAAGUGCUGAAAGCAUCUAAGCACGAAACUUGCCCCGA